UACGAAGGGGGCUAGCGUUGCUCGGAAUUACUGGGCGUAAAGCGCACGUAGGCGGCUUUCUAAGUCGGGGGUGAAAUCCUGGAGCUCAACUCCAGAACUGCCUUCGAUACUGGAGAGCUCGAGUCCGGGAGAGGUGAGUGGAACUGCGAGUGUAGAGGUGAAAUUCGUAGAUAUUCGCAAGAACACCAGUGGCGAAGGCGGCUCACUGGCCCGGUACUGACGCUGAUGUGCGAAAGCGUGGGGAGCAAACAGG
rnacentral:rRNA from 1 species